rnacentral:rRNA from 1 species
UACGUAGGGCGUAAGCGUUAUCCGGAAUUAUUGGGCGUAAAGAGCUCGUAGGCGGUUUGUCGCGUCUGCCGUGAAAGUCCGGGGCUCAACUCCGGAUCUGCGGUGGGUACGGGCAGACUAGAGUGAUGUAGGGGAGACUGGAAUUCCUGGUGUAGCGGUGAAAUGCGCAGAUAUCAGGAGGAACACCAAUAGCGAAGGCAGCUCGCUGGGACGUUACUGACACUAAGGCGCGAAAGCGUGGGGAGCGAACAGG